AAGGGGCGCUCACAGCUCCGGACAAUUCUGUUCUGGACGAAGGCAGGCGUGUUAUUCAAGCCUGAUUGGGCCUCCGCACGAGACGCCAUGAAAUGGGAGGCACGAGGAAGUACGUAAUACGUCCUCGACCCGGAAAUAAAGAGAAAGGGUUAAGUCCUACCGCCUGGGCGGAAGUACUCUCACUCCACGGCAAGCUUUCUUUUGACUUGCUAACCGUUUCUCUCCCUCUUUAGCCUGCGAGCAGUUGGAGACUUCGCUGAGCGGCGUCCUCCUUUAAAACUCGGAUCUCGUUGCCUCUGGAACCCGUGUUGUCCUGUUUUUUGGCUACCCUGCUGAGACAUCGCCAUGUCUUCCCACAAGACUUUCAGAAUCAAGAGGUUCCUUGCAAAGAAACAGAAACAAAAUCGUCCGAUUCCUCAGUGGAUUCGCAUGAAAACUGGCAAUAAGAUCAGGUACAACUCCAAGAGGAGACACUGGAGAAGAACCAAGCUGGGCUUAUAAAGAACUGACAUCAUAAUGAUUUGUUCUGUACCAAGUCCAAAACCUCUUGCCAUGUCACCACCUUUGAUUCUGGAAUUUCCAAUAGUGCAGGCAUAAAGAAAUUUAGCAUUCA